rnacentral:lncRNA from 1 species
AAGGGUAGAGAGACAAUAGAGAGGGCUAGAGGCCUCUGUGCUAAGCCUAACCCAGUCUGGUUUUCUUGGACUUAUAAUAAUAACCAGCAUUUAUAUAGCACCCAGGUUUGAAAAGCGCUUCAAAAUAUCAUCUCAUUUAAUCCUCUGCACCAAUCCUGAAAACUGGUUGCUGUUGUGAGUUUUAUUUACAGAUGGAGAAAAUGAGACAAACUUUACUCAAGUCGUCCCUAUUCCCAGAUGGGGCUUUUACUCCGCUGCGCCACGUAGUGGUCGACCUUCACUAACAGAGUUACCAUAGUAACCAGAAACCCGGCCCUCCAGUCUCUCUCCAAUCAGGCUGUUGAACCUGAGGUGAGAAUGAUAAAGAGAAGAGAGCGAGAGCAAGAAAGUUCUUCUUUCCAAAGUAAAACAUUUGAUUAAGCUGGAGCUGAACCAAAGGCAAGAAAAGUGGAAAGACUGGAGUUUGAUGUUCCCAAUCCUGCAAAAAAUGAGUUGGAGUAUACGGAAUGUUCCAGGAAGAUUAGCACCUCUGGUAUGAGGGCUUGUCCUGAUGUCCACUUGUUAACCCAGUUCUCAUCUAUGGCUUCAAAAAGCUGUAACAUGUACAGUAGCUAUACACCAGUAAAACUAUCUUGGCAGACAAGCUAAACCAGGUUGAGGGUAACUGACAAGUCUCAAACCUAUUGGUGAGUUGGGAGCAUGUCUACUCCACGUGAAGACUUCCCGAGUGGAAGGGGAGGAUGGCCAUUAUUUGUUCCAGUGCCAUGAAGGUGGCUGAAGCAGUGAUUGUGGAAUGCUUGAUCUUGAUCAGACACCAUCAAAGACACUAAGGUCAUCCAUUGUAUCAUGGGCAGUUGUCAUCAUCUGAUUUUUGUCUUGCCACUAAACUUCAAUGAC